GUACACUCCUACGGGAGGCAGCAGUGGGGAAUUUUGGACAAUGGGCGAAAGCCUGAUCCAGCAAUGCCGCGUGAGUGAAGAAGGCCUUCGGGUUGUAAAGCUCUUUUGUCAGGGAAGAAACGGUGAGAGCUAAUAUCUUUUGCUAAUGACGGUACCUGAAGAAUAAGCACCGGCUAACUACGUGCCAGCAGCCGCGGUAAUACGUAGGGUGCAAGCGUUAAUCGGAAUUACUGGGCGUAAAGCGUGCGCAGGCGGUUUUGUAAGUCUGAUGUGAAAUCCCCGGGCUCAACCUGGGAAUUGCAUUGGAGACUGCAAGGCUAGAAUCUGGCAGAGGGGGGUAGAAUUCCACGUGUAGCAGUGAAAUGCGUAGAUAUGUGGAGGAACACCGAUGGCGAAGGCAGCCCCCUGGGUCAAGAUUGACGCUCAUGCACGAAAGCGUGGGGAGCAAACAGGAUUAGAAACCCCAGUAGUCCCAUGA
rnacentral:rRNA from 1 species